GGUCUGGUGUGGUUCUCUCCCGCGCUCAGCGCUGCGCUGGGCGGCCGCUGCACCGUCCCUCCCCCAGAUAGUCCCUCGCUCUCUCUCCGCACCGCACGCCUGGCACCCACCCCCUCCACAGUGGGCGGCGACCCAGCGGCUCGGAUUGGAUUCGCACAGCCAGCACUGCAGUGAGAGAGAGUGAGUGAGCCAGGUAGGGGCAGAGAGCUGCGAGUGCGAGCGCACCCCCCCCAGAUGUUGCGCCCGGUGCGGCCGGCCCCCCCUGCACCCCCCACGCUACGCCACUG